GCACCCCAUUUUGCCCCCAUGGCUUUCACAGUUCUGUAGUCUAGGAAAGUCCUUUCCUGAUUGAAAGCCUGACUUUCUCCACAUUCAGGGUCUUUCUGGGGAUGAUCUUUUCCUCUUCUGUGUGGCCUUCACCUGUGAACAAGCCUAUAAUGAGGGUGAGGAUAGAGUGGAUUAUAAUAAAGAUGCUGUGUCCAUGGUCAUUUUGGACAUCAUGGGGAGAUGGACCCAGUUUCCAAAUCCUGUGAGAAUACUGAAGAGGGGAAUGGAAGAUAUUGUCUGCCUCACUUUCAUGAAACCUCCAUUUAUGCAAAGUAAGAAAUCGGCCAUCAUCCAUGGGAUGCUUUUUCCAAUUGCUCACACUUAUGGACUGAAUAAUGCUGAC